rnacentral:sRNA from 1 species
UGACGAGAAAGCCAACUCCACCUUGUCC